AUGAGGAUAUUCCAUCAAACCACUCCCCGCUUAUCCUCCGUUUGUUCCCUCGGAGCCGAAUGCCUGUUCCUGUCACAGCAUCUGUGGUGCACCUUACAUUCAGGAGAACCUGUAUAUCUCCUGAGAUGUGCUCUUGCAGGGCUUUAUGGUUACAAAGUCCUUCAUGUCCUGAAUGAUCUCCAUUCGACUCUCAAUGCCAACCUGUCAGAUGGUGAGGAAAAGGACUGUCAUUCCAUUUUACAGUUGAAAAAACUGAAAAAUCGAAGAAAAAUAAGCAUUUGCUCAAUGCCACCGUAAUAGUAAGUGCGAGAGUGGGAAUCAGAAUUCAGAUCUUUUGACUCUCAGUCAAGUGCUCUUUCUAUGGCACCAGAAGCAUUUAACCUACAGACUGUUAUAAUGGAUAGAGGACUAGAGAAAUCAAGCCAUGCCCAUGGGCACUAUGGUGGGGCAUUGUCUCUCAAAGCUCCCAGUGAGAGAACUUGGGCCCGGGAAGACUAGGAGUGGCUGUAAUUUCCAGUCUGAGACAAUGGAUCUCAGCUUUCCAGAUGCCUCCUAGGCCAGCAGGUGGAGCCUCUUGUCAUGCUCAUUUCCAAAGACAGGAUUGUUUUUCCCUUUUUUUUUUUUUUUAAGAAAAAUCCCCAAACCCAACAACAUCCACAUUAUUAUUCAGGGCAGAAGCAAGGCUCUUAUGCCCUUGCGUUUGUUUAAACUUUCCUCAGGUGCUGAGUGGGAGGCUCAGGACCAUCAGCCUGGAAGUUCAAGCACACAGAGACACAAAAGCAUUUCAAAAAGGAAUCUGAGGGUUUUGUGCAAGGUAUAGAACAGUGAAUAUGCUCGGUGAGGCAUGCCAGCUUUGCAAACACAGCAAAGGAAUGAAGGAGCUACACAUGGGGUGGUUUGUGCCUCCAAACUGCUGUCAGCAGGCAUUGGAUCCAGAAACAGCAGGAGACAGGCUUUCUCGUUAAAGAAAAGACAGUUGGAGCCCCUGAGUGUUGCCCUGGUAAAUAGCAGCCCCGAGCCAUGUGAGGGAGUGAUGCCCCUUUAUACAGGUCUGCACAACGUCUUUCCUUUCUAGUGGGGAGGCCAGGAGGCAGCCCUGCUCUCGGAUUUUAAGCAUAAACAUUCCUUCCUUGUAUGCAUUAAGCGCCAUGAGUGGGCCAUCUUUUCCACUCCCUUCCAAAAUAUUUUGUUUUCCAUCUCUCCCUUCUUUUCCAUGUUGCUUUGAGAAAGAUCCAAAACUUCCUCCCUGCUUUCCUUAGCUGCUUUUUGUUGUUGUUUCAAACCGCAGCCUAAAUUU
rnacentral:lncRNA from 1 species